rnacentral:rRNA from 1 species
AUUGAACGCUGGCGGAAUGCUUUACACAUGCAAGUCGAGCGGCAGCGCGGGGGCAACCCUGGCGGCGAGCGGCGAACGGGUGAGUAACAUAUCGGAACGUACCCCGUCGUGGGGGAUAACACAGCGAGAGCUGUGCUAAUACCGCAUACGACCUGAGGGUGAAAGCGGGGGAUCGCAAGACCUCGCGCGAUGGGAGCGGCCGAUAUCGGAUUAGCUUGUUGGUGAGGUAAAGGCUCACCAAGGCGACGAUCCGUAGCUGGUCUGAGAGGACGACCAGCCACACUGGAACUGAGACACGGUCCAGACUCCUACGGGAGGCAGCAGUGGGGAAUUUUGGGACAAUGGGGGCAACCCUGAUCCAGCCAUUCCGCGUGAGUGAAGAAGGCCUUCGGGUUGUUAAAGGACUCUUUCUAGCAGGAACGAAACGGUAGG